AAUCUGUAGCUGGGCUGGCGGCACACUACUGGUAAAUUCAAAACCACGCCUGGUCUACAUAGUUCUGGGACAACCAGAGAGAGCUACAUAGUGAGACCCUGCCUCAAAAAAAACAAAAACCAAAAAGGAAAAGGAAAGAGAAGAAUCUAUGAGCAUUCCUUCCCUCGCCUUCGAGAUAACGUGAUUCUCCUGAAUGCUAACACAGCACUGUUCAUCUUUUGUAAUGAUAAUUUUAUUUGAUUUUUUUAUACUGAAGUGACAAUAUUGGAACUCGAGCAUGUUCAUAUAUUUAAUCUUGUCCCUUUCAUUGGUGUACACAAAGCUCUUGUUUGUAAAUACCACCAUGCACUACACAUCACGGAGUCUGAGCUCGGGAACACGUAUGGGCAAAGAGAGACGUCUUGAGGGUAUGUCCAAAGACUUGCAGGCCACAGGUACACGUGCUGCUGCUACUUCUGCUGUGAACCUGGCCAUGUGACUCCCCUACAGCACUUUAUCUCAGCCCCGGUGCACUGUUUCUUGUGAGCCUUGUGGAGACUUGUGAGAUAUACAAACAUCUAACCUUACCAUGCAUCAACAUGUACUUAACCAGCUCUCAACCAUAUCUUACACCUUGUUGUUAAAUUAUGUUUAUAAUGUAUGAUUGAAAGUUUCUAUUCUAAUAUUUUUUGAAUAUAGAAUGUUCUAGACUUGAAAGGCACUUGAAUGUAGAGUGAUGAAAAUGUGAACGUUUUGCCACGUUCGUGACCAAAGAUACCAGGCUGUUGGACAUGUAAUGUGGUAAUGACAGGCAGGGUCUUGUAUGCCUUCUCUGGAGGACUUCUGCCCUGUGAGUUAGAAUAACUUGGGAUAAUUGAGAAAACAUGAAAAUGACAAGGAAGAGCACUAUCCAUAGCCUAUGAUGAUUUUUUCACUGUGGCACCACAAAACAAAAGGUUUUCUUUCAAAUGCCUACUUUCUGAGUUUAUUUCCUGCGUACUCGUUUCAAAAGGGUUGGUAGUGACAUAUUUCUAUAGUUGCGUGUCCGUUUUAGGUUUGUCAUAGUCCACCUUGUAACCCAGCUCUGUGAAAACUGGGGAUGUCUUGCACGGGGAGGAGCAUUGCAGGGUGUCACUGUAUAGCUCUGGCUGAGGAUGGGCUUGCGAACCUCUUGCUAAGACUCUAGGCAUGCACUACCAUGGCCUGCUUCACGUUUUUAGUACCCUGUCCUCACAGCAUGAAGUAGCUGACUCUCAACCCACAGGUCUGCACUUGAGUAUUUCUGCUUAGAGCCAGCAGGAGCUACACAUUGAGCAGGGUGAGUCUGCAGUUGAUGGCUGGGGAAAUGCUUCUGACACCACCUCAAUGGGAUUUCUAAAAAGCAGGGAAGACAAAUGAUGCUGCCUCUGGUGUAGCUCCAGACUGAAAUGACUCUCUGUCCAGAGAAAGUGGACUUCCAUCUUAACCUCCUUACAAGUGUUUUUGCAAGCAUGUGUGUGGUGUCUGUUGCAUUUACUGAUAACUGCCAGGUGCUAAUGUUCAGUGCCCUAAAGUGAGUGUUUCUCGGGGCCCUUCUUAGCCCCAGCAUGUGUCCCUGUGCUGCCACUGUAGCUGACAAGGACGGGAGGUGCACCCAGGACCUCCGUGCAGCUCCUCAGGCUCCUUCCCCGUCUGCCCCAAGUCUGCAGACCACACUGGGACCUCACAGGUGCUCAGCUCAGCCUCCGUUCAGGAUGCUGCUGUAGGAUGGCUCUGGUAAUUGAGAACACUAAGGAUCAGGCUCCAGUUGUAUUCAAGACUUCUUGUUAUACAGUUCAUGUUAGAUUUGGAGGCAUAUGAAGUUUGCUUGAGACAUUUUUUUCGUGCUUUGAAUUAGGUUAAUAUUUAAAAAUCUGCCUUUGGGGGUAUUUAUUACAUUUCAGUAAGAAACAGGAGGUGGAAAUUGUAAGCUUGGGAGUUGGUAGGAUACUCCCAUGCAUUUCCUGUUUUUUGUUUGUUUGUUUGCUUUUUUGGGUUUUGUUUUUAAUCUGUCCUGUGCAGAGUGCCACCUGUAUCACGGUACAUCAUGUUUAUACUACUAUGUCAAGAUUAAGCUUAAAGUAUACAUACAGAGUUGAUUUUUAUACCCUCUUGAAGGUUUGGAGCUAUUGCCCUGGCUGUAUAUGACUGAAGCUGAGAGAGAUCAUGCUACGUUUUGUCUCUCGUUCUGAUAUUUGUGUCUUUGUAUGGUUGACAGCAUGCAGUAAGCAAUAUAAAACACCAAGCCUUACGUCUAUCAGAAAGAAGUUUAAUAUAUAAAAUUCUGAACAUAUAAAUAUAUUUAAGUGACAAUACUAGAGUUUUAAGGAAGUGUGUACUCCAGGACGGGGACUCCAGGGCGGGGACUCAAUACUGUACUUAGAAGCUUCUUCAGAAUUAGGGAAACAUUCAUUUCCUUGGGGAGAAAGUUUAGAGGUUAAAAAUAGAUUCUCUAUUUUAAAAAGUUAAAUUAUAAUUUGGAAGAAAUUUCUUUGACUAUAGAACACAGCAAUUUAAAGGAAUUUUGUUUGAAAUUUUGUAUUUUUGUGCCUUAAUAUUUGGUUUUUUAAUAAAUUGCUUUCUGACAUUUGG
rnacentral:lncRNA from 1 species